rnacentral:rRNA from 1 species
UACGUAGGCAGCAAGCGUUGUUCGGAAUUACUGGGCGUAAAGCGUGCGCAGGCGGUCUGCUAAGAGAGGUGUGAAAUCCCCGGGCUUAACCUGGGAACUGCGCUUCUAACUGGCAGGCUAGAGUGUGGCAGAGGGGGGUGGAAUUCCACGUGUAGCAGUGAAAUGCGUAGAUAUUGGGAGGAACACCAGUGGCGAAGGCGGCUCACUGGACCGGUACUGACGCUGAUGCGCGAAAGCGUGGGGAGCAAACAGG